AGUAACGCGUGAGGAACCUGCCUCAAAGAGGGGGACAACAGUUGGAAACGACUGCUAAUACCGCAUAAGCCCACGGCUCGGCAUCGAGCAGAGGGAAAAGGAGCAAUCCGCUUUGAGAUGGCCUCGCGUCCGAUUAGCUAGUUGGUGAGGUAAUGGCCCACCAAGGCGACGAUCGGUAGCCGGACUGAGAGGUUGAACGGCCACAUUGGGACUGAGACACGGUCCAG
rnacentral:rRNA from 1 species